GGUGUUGCGAAGAUGAUAUUUGGGAGAGGAACUCGGCUGAUAGUCGACUCAGGGAAUGACUUUAAACCAUCCUACUUUGAACUACAGGAUGAUAAGUCGAAAUUAUGCCUGGCCACUGGUUUCAGCCGAUAUGACGCAACAGACGGUAAACCCAAGCUUUUCAAGGGCACAGAGCCUGUCCGGAUAUCAGGAGACUCUCUGUUCAACCGGGUGGCUUGGAUAGGAAAUGACAAGGAGGAGUGCGAGUCAAUUUCAGCAGAUGAUGAACCUUAUGUUCCAUGUGAAGAUACUUUGGAGCCAGGUGCGAAGGUAAACAUCAUGUCUCUGACCAUCCUGGGCCUCAGGAUUAUCUUUGUGAAGACCAUCAUCUUCAACGUCCUGAUGACUCUGCGGCUGUGGAUCAGUCAGUGAGCUCAUCAGAGCUUCACCAAGAAAAAACUCCAAGAUGGCGGAUUCACAGGAGUUUCAGAUGAAGCAUCAAGUUCAAUGCUCACCUUCAUCGUGUAUAAACAUGUAAUAAUAUCAUAUGACCUGUUCAUCAUACCAUCUGUUAAUGUCUUAAUACUGUGGACAGUCAUGAGGGCGUCCUGUAAUACAUGUAACAUUUAGUAUUUUGUAGAAGUUGUUUUUGCUUUUGAUGAAUUAAUUUUUACUCUUGUUUGUCCUGCUGAUGUAAAUAUCACAGUUACAGUUAAAAGUCUGACAGACUGAUUGUCCUGCUUUUAGUAUAAAAAAACCCUUUUAAUAACCUCUCUAUGUUAUAUUUCCUGUGUGAUGUUUCAAUAAACAUUGAAAAACGA